GAUGAACGCUGGCGGCGUGCCUAAUACAUGCAAGUCGAGCGAACGGACGAGAAGCUUGCUUCUCUGAUGUUAGCGGCGGACGGGUGAGUAACACGUGGAUAACCUACCUAUAAGACUGGGAUAACUUCGGGAAACCGGAGCUAAUACCGGAUAAUAUUUUGAACCGCAUGAUUCAAAAGUGAAAGACGGUCUUGCUGUCACUUAUAGAUGGAUCCGCGCUGCAUUAGCUAGUUGGUAAGGUAACGGCUUACCAAGGCAACGAUGCAUAGCCGACCUGAGAGGGUGAUCGGCCACACUGGAACUGAGACACGGUCCAAACUCCUACGGGAGGCAGCAGUAGGGAAUCUUCCGCAAUGGGCGAAAGCCUGACGGAGCAACGCCGCGUGAGUGAUGAAGGUCUUCGGAUCGUAAAACUCUGUUAUUAGGGAAGAACAUAUGUGUAAGUAACUGUGCACAUCUUGACGGUACCUAAUCAGAAAGCCACGGCUAACUACGUG
rnacentral:rRNA from 1 species